GGAUAGCUGAAAAUGGUCAGAGACGGCUGCAAGCAUCUCGGGCUUUUCCAGUAACCCAGCAUUCCAUUCCCAUGAUACCCUUGGGAAAAUGGUCACAUGCAUGUCCUUUCCCACAAUUUUCUCUAGUAUUGUUAUUGGUAGUGGUGAUUGCACCUCUGUUUUCCUUAAUUUUUAUUCUUUUAAAAAAAUAUGGAAGAACUGCAAACACUUGUUUGCCGCCUUCUGUUUCUGUGCAUGUGUUUUACUUCACUCUGUUCUUCUCCCUCUGCACCCUCACUGACCUAUCUCACCCUCCAUAUCCCCGAGUCACUACUUCCCAUCAGUCACUGGCUGGACCAUCAUCCUCUUCUGGAGGCUUGUGAAAAUAGACAGCAAAUUGACCGAGAUAUUGAUGCCCUGGUUAGAGUGCAAGACAAUGAUAUUAACAGAAAGGGGACUUUAUUCUGAUGUGGAGGCAGUCCCAUAGUCCUAUGUGUUCCCAGUCACCUGGUACACAAACUAGAACAUUUUGAUCUGUGUCUUUGACAUUUCCUCACUCACUCCACCCAGAGCUACUUUUGGCUUCUGGAAUGAAUAAACAGAAAAUGAUCCACUGAAAACAGAGGGGAAUAGCCUAUAAAGUCUAUAGCUAAUCAGCCACAUUUAAAUAUCGAAGAAAGGAGGAGAGUGGCCUCAAAGGUGUCAUCAGACAGUCAUUAGAGGAUGGUUUGGUCCCAUUUGGAAGUUUUCUGCCUCUACUCAAGCAAUACAGUUUCUGCAAGAGUGCAUAUGUGCGUGCCUGCCUGCAUGGGGACGGUUCAGUGUGCAGCAGCAUUGCGCCUUGCUGCCACUCAAUCUUCACUCUGAGUUCUCGUUGCUAAGUCUCCAUCCAGUCUGAUGAGGAGCAGCCAUCCAGUUCAAGAGGAAACUCUUUCUUCAUUUAGCCUGAGAUUUGACCUCAAGGUGAGACAAUUUAUUUUGGCCGCUAAAAGAAACAAGAUGUCUGCAUACACUAGCAAGAUUAUGCUGAAAGGACCCUGAUAUAGCUGUCU